GACUUCGGCUUCGUAGGUGACCUGCGGAGGAUCAUUC
rnacentral:rRNA from 1 species